UAUGGCAAAGAUCUUCCUUCCUGGAUAUUGGCCAUGUGAUGGGGGAGCAGAGAUUCAGGAGCCAGAUUCAGAGCCUCUGUUAUGAUCGUUUUUACUUGACUCAACCCUGAAGACCUGGACCUCAUUCAGGAUGCUCUGGGCUUCUCUCUGGGAAGACAAUCCUGGGAUCAUUAUAACCAUUAGUGACUCCCCAGAUCCCUCUCCAUAGGAGAAGCCUCCUGAGCUACAACUUUACUCUGAUGACUUCUUACAUGAGCCACCCCCAUGGAAGAAGAAAGAAGAGUCUGCAGGGAAAGCCAAGUGUCUGAAGGACAAGAAGGGCCCUGGAGCCUACAGCACUACCAGGUUCCUUCUCUGAACCCAGUGUAAGAGCUCCUCAGAAGUUGGAGUGAGCACUGAGUUUCAAAAGACAGUACAGACACUGCAAGUUCUUCUGGGUGACUACACAGGGGAAUAAGAACUCCAGCAACAAACCCAUUCUCAUUAGAGAGAUGAAGGCCAAACUCCAGAUUUGGAGAACCAAAGGCCAGAGAAACUUAGGCCAAGGAUUGGUCAUGGAUCCCAGAGUUCAGAACUGAAAAGAUAUUUCAUCUAGGUUACAAUGGUUUGAGGACAGGGAGAGAGAAUCCUGGGAAGUAGCUGAAAUACUUGAACCCGGAAGUAUCCAUAGACUGUUUUCAAUGCCAGAGAAAGUGGACAUUGUGCUCUUAUCAUCCAACCACACCCUGAACAAUCUGAUAGCCCUGAACCUAUAUUUAGCAAUACUGAUUCCAGCAAUACUGAACAACUUUACUGAUUUUAGAAGAAACUAAAAAUCUUUUAAACUUUAGAUUAAUUUCUCCCAGUUUACUAUACUUGUAGUGUGUUUUCAUUAUGCCUUUGGGUCAUU